UACGUAGGGGGCAAGCGUUGUCCGGAUUUAUUGGGCGUAAAGAGCGUGUAGGCGGCCUGGAAGGUCAGCUGUGAAAACUCGAGGCUCAACCUCGAGACGUCGGUUGAAACCACCUGGCUAGAGUCCGGAAGAGGAGAGUGGAAUUCCCGGUGUAGCGGUGAAAUGCGCAGAUAUCGGGAAGAAAACCCGUGGGGAAGGGGGCUCUCUGGGACGGUACUGACGCUGAGACGCGAAAGCGUGGGGAGCGAACAGG
rnacentral:rRNA from 1 species